UACAGAGGGUGCGAGCGUUAAUCGGAAUUACUGGGCGUAAAGCGCACGUAGGCGGCUUGGUAUGUCGGGUGUGAAAUCCCCGGGCUCAACCUGGGAACUGCAUCCGAAACUGCCUUGCUCGAGUAUGGGAGAGGGAAGUGGAAUUUCCGGUGUAGCGGUGAAAUGCGUAGAUGUCGAGAGGAACAUCGGUGGCGAAGGCGGCCUUCUGGACGGUGACUGACGCUGAGACGCGAAAGCGUGGGGAGCAAACAGG
rnacentral:rRNA from 1 species